UACAUUUUCAAAAAAAAAAAAGAUAACAUUUCUACAUUUUUACCUCACAGAGUUUUUUCUUAACAACAGUACUAUGUCUUUAAGUUCUUUAUUGCAUUGAAGGAUACAUAGGAACGUUUAUUAACAACCGUCAAAGCAAAAUUGUAAAUAAAAUAAAAUUAAAAUACAUAAAAAUUAAAUAACUUAAUCAAAAGGGAGAAAUUGGUUCAUGCUUUCAGGUUGAAGCCAGUUUCUAGAAGAUCUUGAUCUAAGUAGGUUUUGAAGACACAUUUUUCCUUAAUACUUCAGCUUCGACGUCUUGAUGGCUUGUGGACCUAUGUGGGACAAUGUCCGAGGAGUGUUGGUUGGUAGAGCUGAACAAGACACGCUUCGCCUUAAUGCUUAAGGCUCGAUGUCUUGGAGCUUGUGGAGCGGAAUGAGAUGAGUGUAGAAUUUGGCCAAGCAUAAUUGGACGAGAGUCAUUAUCACGAGCGACCUCCCUUAUUACAUGCAAGUUGCAACAUGAUCUCAU
rnacentral:lncRNA from 1 species